AGAAAAGAGGACAUCCACAUGUUCAUUGCAUUGGUUUCUGAGCAAAAUAAAGGUGAGUGUAAGGUGGAUAUUCUACAUGAAACAACGAUGUUAAUAGUUGAAUGACGUCAUCAACGAUAUAGGAUAGUAUGCAAAUACAUUAUUGUUUGUCAUCAUCAUCAUAUUAUUAUUAUUAUUAUUAUUAUUAUUAUUAUUAUUAUUAUUAUUAUUAUUAUUAUUAUUAUUAUUACUUUUCAAACAAAAUAGUCCAACAAACACCAACACUCAAACCAAGGGGUGGUGUAACAAUCAAGCGAAGAAUAUUGGACUCAUCAAGUGAAAAAUUCGAUGAGACUUUGAGGUAACUUUUGUAUGUACUUGUACAAUUCUAUCUAUGACUUUUGGUCUAUUACAACAUGUCGAUGAUAUUUUAUUAACAUUUUGAGGUUGUCUUUUGUGUGUACAUUGUAUAUGCCUCAAUGUAGCUUCCGAUUGAGUGCACUGUGUAUAUAUGAUGCAUAAUGUCUUAAAAAUAUUUAAGUAGUUUGUAUAUAAAAUGUACUUGUGGAUUGCUGCAAUUUUUAUGAGUUAGUGAC
rnacentral:lncRNA from 1 species